AGUUCCCGGAGGAGAUCACCCAGCUCGUCAUGCUAGAGCACUUUUUCAAUGUGCUCCCACGAGAAGGCUAUGACGCAUUCGUAUGUCAAUACAUAUCAACUUUCGAUGCCAUUGACUGCGCCUACCAUGGUGACCAUGGGUAACGGGGAAUCAGGGUUUCAUUCCAUACAGGGACCCUGAAAAACGGCUACCACAUGCAAGGAAGGCAGCAGGCGCGCAUUUGACCCACUCCCAACACGGGAAGGUAGUGACGACAAAUAACAAUACAGGACUCUUUAGAGGCCCUGUAAUUGUAUUGAGUCCACUUGAAAUCCUUUAACUCUGAUCAAUUGGAGGGAAGUCUGGUGCAGAGCCACUGACCCAUGCGUGCUGCAA
rnacentral:rRNA from 1 species